rnacentral:rRNA from 1 species
AGAGUUUGAUCCUGGCUCAGAGUGAACGCUGGCGGUGCGCCUAAGACAUGCAAGUCGAGUGGGUUUAGACCCACGGCGAACGGCUGCGUAACACAUGGGUAUCUGCCCCGAACUCAGGAAUAACCCGCCGAAAGGCGGGCUAAUGCCGGAUAGUCCCGCAAGGGUAAAGCUUUUGCGGUUCGGGAGGAGCCUGUGGCCUAUCAGUUAGUUGGUGAGGUAACGGCUCACCAAGACGAUGACGGGUAGCUGGUCUGAGAGGACGACCAGCCAGAAUGGAACUGAGACACGGUCCAUACUCCUACGGGAGGCAGCAGUUAGGAAUCUUCCACAAUGGGCGAAAGCCUGAUGGAGCGACACCGCGUGAAGGAUGAAACCCUUAACUGGGCGUAAACUUCUGUUAUGAGGGACGAAAUUUUUGACGGUACCUCAUGAGAAAGCACCGGCUAAUUCUGUGCCAGCAGCCGCGGUAAGACAGAAGGUGCAAGCGUUACUCGGAAUUACUGGGCGUAAAGCGUCUGUAGGUGUCCUUCCACGUCUGGAUUUAAAUUGCGGGGCUCAACCCCGCAUCUGAUCUGGAAACGAGAGGGAUCGAGUCAUUCAGAGGCAUCUGGAAUGUCAUAUGUAGGGGUAAAAUCCGUAGAUACAUGAUGGAACGCCAAAAGCGAAGGCAGGAUGCUAGGAAUGUACUGACACUCAGAGACGAAAGCGUGGGGAGCAAAGGGGAUUAGAUACCCCCGUAGUCCACGCCCUCAACGAUGCGAGCUCGGUGUAGGGAUUUCAAUCUGUCCCUGUGCCUUAGCUUACGCGGUAAGCUCGCCGCCUGGGAAGUACGGCCGCAAGGCUAAAACUCAAAGGAAUAGACGGGGACCCACACAAGCGGUGGAGCAUGGGGUUUAAUUCGAUGACAAGCGAAGCACCUCACCCAGACUUGACAUGUUAGGAAUCCGGCCGAAAGGUUGGAGUGCCGCAAGGAACCUAAACACAGGCGCUGCACGGUCGUCGUCAGCUCGUGCCUUGAGGUGUACUGUUCAGUCAGCCAACGAGCGCAACCCUGAUCCUAUGUUGCUAUUUCAUAGGAGACUGCCGCCUCCAAGGCGGAGGAAGGUCAGGAUGACGUCAGAUCAGCGUGGCCCUUAUGUCUGGGGCAACACCCGUGCUACAAUGGCCGGUACAAACGGAAGCCAACUCGCGAGAGUGAGCAAAUCCGAUAAACCCGGCCUCAGUUCGGAUUGAAGUCUGCAACUCGACUUCAUGAAGUUGGAAUCGCUAGUAACCGUGAAUCAGCUACGUCACGGUGAAUAUGUUCCUGGGUCUUGUACUCACCGCCCGUCAAGUCAUGAAAGCUCGGAGCACCCGAAGGUCCGUUACGCGCAAGCGGCGGAACCACGGUGAAACGAGUGAUUGGGACUAAGUCGUAACAAGGUAUCCGUAGGAGAACCUGCGGAUG